AAAAGAAACCAACAGGGAUUACCUCAGUAACGGCGAGUGAAGCGGUAACAGCUCAAAUUUGAAAGCUAGCUCUUUGAGGGUUCGCAUUGUAAUUUGUAGAAGAUGCUUCGGGUGUGGCCCCGGUCUAAGUUCCUUGGAACAGGACGUCAUAGAGGGUGAGAAUCCCGUAUGUGACUGGGUGCUUUCGCUCAUGUGAAGCUCUUUCGACGAGUCGAGUUGUUUGGGAAUGCAGCUCUAAAUGGGUGGUACAUUUCAUCUAAAGCUAAAUAUUGGCCAGAGACCGAUAGCGCACAAGUAGAGUGAUCGAAAGAUGAAAAGCACUUUGGAAAGAGAGUUAAACAGUACGUGAAAUUGUUGAAAGGGAAGCGCUUGCAACCAGACUUGCGCGCUGAUGAUCAUCCGGGCUUCUGCCCGGUGCACUCGUCUGCGCUCAGGCCAGCAUCGGUUUCGGUGGUGGGAUAAAGGCCUUGGGAAUGUAGCUCCUCUCGGGGAGUGUUAUAGCCCUCGGUGCAAUGCCGCCUACCGGGACCGAGGACCGCGCUUCGGCUAGGAUGCUGGCGUAAUGGUUGUAAGCGACCCGUCUUGAAACACGGACCAAGGAGUCUAACAUCUAUGCGAGUGUUUGGGUGUCAAACCCAUACGCGUAAUGAAAGUGAACGGAGGUGAGAACCCUUAAGGGUGCAUCAUCGACCGGUCCUGAUGUCUUCGGAUGGAUCUGAGUAAGAGCAUAGCUGUUGGGACCCGAAAGAUGGUGAACUAUGCGUGAAUAGGGUGAAGCCAGAGGAAACUCUGGUGGAGGCUCGCAGCGGUUCUGACGUGCAAAUCGAUCGUCAAAUUUGCGUAUAGGGGCGAAAGACUAAUCGAACCAUCUAGUAG
rnacentral:rRNA from 1 species